AUUGAACGCUGGCGGCAUGCUUUAUACAUGCAAGUCGAACGGCAGCGCGGGCUUCGGCCUGGCGGCGAGUGGCGAACGGGUGAGUAAUAUAUCGGAACGUACCAAAGAGUGGGGGAUAACGUAGCGAAAGUUAAGCUAAUACCGCAUACGAUCUAAGGAUGAAAGCAGGGGAUCGCAAGACCUUGUGCACCUGGAGCGGCCGAUAUCUGAUUAGCUAGUUGGUGGGGUAAAGGCCCACAAAAGCAACGAUCAGUAGCUGGUCUGAGAGGACGACCAGCCACACUGGAACUGAUACACAGUCCAGACUCCUACUGGAGGCAGCGGUGGGGAAUUUUGGACAAUGGGGGCAACCCUGAUCCAGCAAUGCCGCGUGAGUGAAGAAGGCCUUCGGGUUGUAAAGCUCUUUUGUCAGGGAAGAAAAGGUCGUGGCUAAUAUCCACGACUGCUGACGGUACCUGAAGAAUAAGCACCGGCUAACUACGUGCCAGCCGCCGCGGUAA
rnacentral:rRNA from 1 species